UGGGGGAUAUUGCACAAUGGGCGAAAGCCUGAUGCAGCGACGCCGCGUGGGGGAUGAAGGCCUUCGGGUUGUAAACUUCUUUUGCUCUGAACAAGGCGCACCAUGGGGUGUGUUGAGUGUAGGGGUUGAUUAGCGCCGGCUAACUACGUGCCAGCAGCCGCGGUAAUACGUAGGGCGCGAGCGUUGUCCGGAAUUAUUGGGCGUAAAGGGCUUGUAGGUGGCUGGUUGCGUCUGUCGUGAAAGCUCAUGGCUUAACUGUGGGUUUGCGGUGGGUACGGGCUGGCUUGAGAGCAGUAGGGGAGGCUGGAAUUCCUGGUGUAGCGGUGGAAUGCGCAGAUAUCAGGAGGAAUACCGGUGGCGAAGGCGGGUCUCUGGGCUGUUACUGACACUGAGGAGCGAAAGCAUGGGGGGCGAACAGG
rnacentral:rRNA from 1 species